GGACUGGAGUUUGACACCCUGAUUAAGUGUAGUGACUAUUUGUCCAAAAACUCAAAAUCCAAAAAUCAAAAAACUUAAGACUUCAAGGUGAUCAAAGUGUAACAGGUGGCACCAUUAGGUGGCGCUCCCUGCACAGCCUGAGCCUUCAUUAAAGGGAAGCUGAAAGGUGGAGGCCAAGUGUUCAUUUCCUGUGUGUGAGACCAGGUGUGUGUUGGGCCCACGCUGUUUGCUGGCUGUGGUAGGUCGGAGGAAAACUGUUUUUAAGUGAUUCUCUUAAGUAAGUUGUGCUGAUUUGGCGUUUUUAUACAGGGCUGCAUUAUUAAUGACGUUCCGGUGGCAGCGUAGCGUUACCUGGGCGUGUGGUUGUUCGACGCCGCUGGUUUGCACCAGAUCUGCUACACCAAGGUUGAUCUCAGAGUGCUGGUUAAUACGAUGCAGUGUUGGCACUGCUUCCUGCUGUCCUUUUAGAGUUUGGUUUUCUGUUAGUCCGCCCAGUUAGGAUUGUUUGUUUCUUGUGAGGUCAGGCUAACAACUUUUCAUUUAUUUUGUUUGUUUUGUCCUCCGUUUGUUUUUGGGUCACUUCCCUGAAUAUCUAUAUCCUGUGUCGCUGUUAAUCUUAAAUAGUUGAGACCCGAUCCUGUUUGUGUGAUCUUGGUUUGAAUUGCAUGUGAUCAUGUUUGCCAGUGCAUCUUAGGUUUGCAGUGAACAUUGUUGUGGUUUAUGCGGGUUUGUCCGCCUGAAGUGGUUAAGUUUGGGUCGAACAUUAUCGGCGGAUAAAGUUAACGGGGAAUCCCUUUUAUGUGUGUAACAAUAAAUGUUGUUAAUAAUUAACUUCGUUCUGGUUGUUUAUUGCCCUUCGGCUUGACUGAACUAUAACAAAAGCAAGAAGUGAAUUCCAACUCAAAUAGCCACUUGAUGUGUCGCAGGUUUCUGGCUUACGCAGUUCCAGAAAUACCAAAAGUCAAAAAUGCAGUUCUUUGUUGCUUUCUUCCAUAUUCAGGCAAACAAGUUACAGGAUUCUGCUGCUUCUCCUGCUCUGUUUACUGUCUGACGGCUUGAUUGAUUCACUCACUGACUGACUGUAGACUGACUGUAGACUGAAUGUAGACUGGUAAAAAAAAAAAAACGUGGCCACUCACGUCCGUAAUGAGCAGUUUCUUCUUCUUCUUUUCUAUUAUAGCGGAUCGCAAGCAACUUUAAUGUGCAUACCGCCACCUACUGUACACAAGUGUGUAGCAACAUUACUUUACAUCUAUCAAAUUCUAUUUU